GUUGGCAUGAAAUUGCUCUCUUUCACCUUGACAACCCUUGAGGCCCUUCCGCAUUGUCGUGGUCGACUUGAGGUCGACUAGAGUCCGACACGAGUCCUCCUCACAGACGUAGCGUCGGACUCGUGUCUGACUCGACUCACCUCCGCCGCUGAUUUUCUCGACCCUG